CAGUCAGGCUGCGAGUGAUAAGAUCCGUAGUCGAGAGGGAAACAACCCAGACCAUCAGCUAAGGUCCCAAAGUGUAAGUUAAGUGGAAAAGGAUGUGGGAUUUCUAAGACAACUAGGAUGUUGGCUUAGAAGCAGCCACUCAUUUAAAGAGUGCGUAAUAGCUCACUAGUCAAGAGAUCCUGCGCCGAAGAUGUCCGGGGCUCAAACUUACCACCGAAGCUAUGGAUUCAAUAGAAUGGUAGAGGAGCUUCCUGUAUGGGUAGAAGUCGUAUCGUAAGAAGCGGUGGACUGUACAGGAGUGAGUAUGCUGGCAUGAGUAGCGAGAAAUAAGUGAGAAUCUUAUUGGUCGAAAACCUAAGGUUUCCUGAGGAAGGUUCGUCCGCUCAGGGUUAGUCGGGACCUAAGCCCAGGCCGAAAGGCGUAGGUGAUGGACAAUCGGUUGAUAUUCCGAUACCGCCAACUUUCGUUUGACAGAUGGGGUGACACAGAAGGAUAAGGUAUGCACACUAUUGGAUGUGUGUCUAAGCACUUAGGCGUGCUUGAUUGGCAAAUCCGUCAAGCUUAGCUGAGGUGUUAUGGGGAGCCUAUUUUGGCGAAGUACCUGAUUCCACACUGUCAAGAAAAGCCUCUAUGGAGAAAGUUGGUGCCCGUACCGCAAACCGACACAGGUAGGUGAGGAGAGAAUCCUAAGACCAUCGGAAGAAUUGCUGUUAAGGAACUAGGCAAAUUGACCCCGUAACUUCGGGAGAAGGGGUGCCUGCUUCACGGCAGGCCGCAGUGAAUAGGCCCAAGCAACUGUUUAUCAAAAACACAGGUCUCUGCUAAAGCGAAAGCUGAUGUAUAGGGGCUGACGCCUGCCCGGUGCUGGAAGGUUAAAGGGAUCUGUUAGCGUAAGCGAAGCGGUGAACUUAAGCCCCAGUGAACGGCGGCCGUAACUAUAACGGUCCUAAGGUAGCGAAAUUCCUUGUCGGGUAAGUUCCGACCCGCACGAAUGGCGUAAUGACUUGGGCACUGUCUCAACAGCAAAUCCGGCGAAAUUGUAGUGCAAGUGAAGAUGCUUGCUACCCGCGAUAGGACGGAAAGACCCCGUAGAGCUUUACUGUAGCUUAACAUUGAAUUUCGGUAUUGUCUGUACAGGAUAGGUGGGAGACUUGGAAGCAGGAGCGUCAGUUUCUGUGGAGUCACCCUUGGGAUACCACCCUGAUAGUACUGAAAUUCUAACGGAAAGCCUUGAAACAGGUUGCCGGACAUUGUUAGGUGGGCAGUUUGACUGGGGCGGUCGCCUCCUAAAAAGUAACGGAGGCGCCCAAAGGUUCCCUCAGCGCGGUCGGAAAUCGCGCGUAGAGUGUAAAGGCAUAAGGGAGCCUGACUGCGACACAUACAGGUGGAGCAGGGACGAAAGUCGGGCUUAGUGAUCCGGUGGUUCCUCGUGGGAGGGCCAUCGCUCAACGGAUAAAAGCUACCUCGGGGAUAACAGGCUGAUCUCCCCCAAGAGUCCACAUCGACGGGGAGGUUUGGCACCUCGAUGUCGGCUCGUCGCAUCCUGGGGCUGGAGUAGGUCCCAAGGGUUGGGCUGUUCGCCCAUUAAAGCGGCACGCGAGCUGGGUUCAGAACGUCGUGAGACAGUUCGGUCCCUAUCCGUCGCGGGCGUAGGAAAUUUGAAGGGAGCUGUCCUUAGUACGAGAGGACCGGGAUGGACUGACCUCUGGUGCACCAGUUGUCACGCCAGUGGCACAGCUGGGUAGCUAAGUCAGGAAGGGAUAAACGCUGAAAGCAUCUAAGCGUGAAGCCCACCCUAAGAUGAGAUUUCCCAUGACGUAAGUCAAUAAGAUCCCUUGAAGAACACAAGGUUGAUAGGUCAGAGGUGUAAGUGCAGCAAUGUAUUUAGCUGACUGAUACUAAUAGAUCGAAGGCUUGAUCAA
rnacentral:rRNA from 1 species